UUUGGUGCUAAAUUCAUAAAUACCAUAAUUACUACAUAAUGUUACCAUGUAUUGAACUGCUUUUUCUGUCCAAUUGUUGUAAAACAUGAUGUUUUGGUGCUUAAUUUGUAAAAUCAUAACGUAAUUUGACGUUUAAUAAGCUUUCCCUUAAUCCCUCCUUAUUAUCCAACAUUUUUGCUUAUCCAAUGUUCUGCCAGCCCAUUUAUGUUGAAUAAGUGAGACUCUACUGUAGUCGCUAAAUUAGAAUAGCAUGAGUUUCAAUGUUUCUGGAGAUUAGCCUGUCAUUUUCAACUGGCUUUAGCAAUAUAUACCGUGUUUCCCCGAAAAUAAGACAGUGUCUUAUAUUAACUUUUGCUCCCAAAGAUGCGCUAGGUCUUAUUUUCAGGGUAUGUCUUAUUUUUCCAUGAAGAAGAAUUCACAUUUAUUUGUUGAACAAAAAAUGGAACAUUAUGUACUGUACUGUACUGUACUCACAAACCAGCAUAACCAGACAAACUGUGAAUCUUAUCAAGAAUUUCUUGUUAUUACCAUUAUUUCCAUGUACAACUCUCUAUGGUAUGUACAUUUACCAAACCCGCAUACUCUGGUGUUCUGUUUGGCGGGCAUGAUUCCAAACAAAAACUUUGCUAGGUCUUACUUUCAGGGGAGGCCUUAUAUUUAGCAAUUGAGCAAAACCUCUACUAGGUCUUAUUUUCCGCGGAUGUCUUAUUUUCGGGGAAACAGGGUAUAUCCUGUAGAUCAGACAUAUAAUGACUGCCUUUAUGCUGGAUAUGUUUCUUUUUUGUUGUGCUACGAAGGGGGAAUAAAUAGCCACUUGCCUAUCGAAACAUGGAUUCGGAUGGUGUACAGAACACACGAUACAGUACUAUUUUCAAAAUCUAUUAACGCUGUGUUACAUUUCAGAAAUAAUUUUGCUUACCAGGUCCAUGAAGGAUUAUAUCAAGGUUUUCCGGCUGUGUAAGAAAAGCUGGCCAAAGAGGAGAUCAUUUUCCUAGGUGACAGUCGCAUUGACGAAAAACAACAGGAAAAACUCAGCUGCUAUCAGGACCUCAAGAUUGAACUUCAAAGACUCUGGCAAAAACCAGUACAGGUGGUCCCGGUGGUGAUGGGCACACUGGGUGCCGUGCCAAAAGAUCUCAGCCAGCAUUUGGAAACAAUAGACAUUGACAAAAUUACGAUCUGCCAACUGCAAAAGGCCACCCUACUGGGAUCUGCGCACAUCAUCCGAAAAUACAUCACACAGUCCUAGACACUUGGGAAGUAUUUGACUUGUGAUUUUGUGAAACGAAAUCCAGCAUAUCUAUCUUGUUUGCUGUGUCAAACAAUAAAACAAUAAUAAUGGCAUUUAAAAAGGGUCCCGACUACAGAUGCAUCCAGAGAAGGGUAUGGGUCUUGGGAAAUUAUAACUCCCAGGUCCACAUAGUAUGGAGCUAUGUUAUUUAAAGUGAGGUCCAAGAGCAUUUACAGUGUUCCCUCACUUAUCGCUGGGAUUAGGUUCCAGGACCACCCGCAAUAAGUGAAAAUCUGCAAAGUAGGGACACUUUAUUUUAAUAUUUAUACAUUAUAUUAGUAGUUAUACACUAUUUUAAGUCUUUAUCAACCAAUUGUGUGUUGAUAAAUCGCCUCCUCCUCCUCCUGUUGCCCCUUGGGCUCCUUUUCUCUCCAUUUGGCUUCUCCUUCCUUCCUUAGGCUGUAAAUUGUAAUUUUUAUGAUUUGUAAUAGUCUUUUAGAGUUUACUGAAAAACCGCGAAACAGCAAAUCUGCGAAAAGUGAACCGCGAAGUAGUGAGGGAACACUGUAUUCCAUAGUGUAAAUACACCAAGAGAAGGUUAUGGACCUUGGAAAACUAUGACUCCAAGGACUGCACAGCAUGUAGACAUGGCAUAAUACUCAUCAUCAUCUUUCUCUCCCGGCUCUCCCAUGAAACACAAGGCACAGACAUAUCACGGAAGGGAAGGACCCAGAAAGGCUAUUUUUAAAAAAGAAAUAGUCCUGGCAAAGUAGACACUCGGUGAACAAAAGGCAAUGCUUUCCCUAACAAGAGUACUUUUGGCUCCUCCCACAAUCUGGGGAAAUGUUUCAUUUUAAACCUGGGAGCAACAAAUGUCAUCACAAUUGGCCAUUCAUUUAGUUUUGAAUGUGUCUAUUCAUCAAUAGUAUGCAUUAAAAUGUUUCCUUCCAUCACCCAUUUUAUUCUCCUCCUCCUCAUCAUUCCAGCUAUUCUCUCCACCUUUUUGUUUGUUAUUAAUUUAUAUUAUGUGUGUAUCCUUAUUGUUUUAAAGUUGUCCAAUGGCUAAUGGCAACUCCAUGAAUUUCAUUGGAUUUUCUUAGGCAAGGAAUGCUCAGAGGUGGUUUUGCGAGAUCCUUCCGCUGAAACUUAGUCUCCAGCACCUGGUGUUCAUUGGCAGUCUCCCAUCCAAGUACAUAUGAACAGAACAUGGGUGAUCACUCGUGACUGAGUAUGCUUGUCUUCCAGAGGAAGAGUCUUGGUAGUGGGUUCGUAAAUGACCAUGAAGACCUUAUUCUGGAUCCACUUGGUCUUUCACAAUGAGGACAUUGAUUUCCAGAUGGAAGGAUUUGUUUGACGUUGUGUGCAAGGCUUUCCCCCACAUUAUCUUCGACAAUUUUGCCUACAGGUUUGCAGCUUUUAAGUACUAUAUAGUUAAAUAUCAAUGUUUUUAGAAUGCUGGCACAUCUUGUUGCAACUGUCCAUACUCCCUCAUGUAGAUUUGGGGAUUCUUGUUCCAAAUACAGGAGAGAGAAAAAGUGUUGGAUGAAGGAACCAUUUUGAAUAUUAUGCUCAGAUACAACAUGCAUAUUCUGAUGUAUGAAAUGUGUCCUAAAAAGCUGGACUUUGAAUGGAGAUUCUUGAAGAUUUUAAAAACAGAUACUAGAUUUCAAAAUUAUAACCUAUACUAACUUGGAAUAUACUAUCUUACUAGCUUCAGUUAUGAGAAGUCAAAAUGCAACCAUUUAUUAUGAACAGAAAUUCCUGAAACUUUUGUCAGAAAUUAAUUUAGAAGGAUUUAGAUAUUUUAAUCAAUAUAUAAAUAGAAACCAAAGGCUCUUUGCAUUCAUUAAUUUGGCAACUUCUAGGAAACUAUAUUUUCAUGAUUCAUUCUAUAACCAAAUUGAAAUCAAUCUGCAGGGUAGUAGCUAAGAGAAAUGGCUCUGAGUUCUAACAUAGAAUUUACACUAUAGGCCAAAAUCCAAGGUCAAAAACAAUGUUAACCAAGUGAGGGUUCUGCUUGACUUAAUAAGAAGCAUGAAGGAUACCGGGUGAAGAGGACAUUCGUUUUCUCUUUUCUGCUGACAGAACUGUUCCAUCAGUGAUACCAGUAUUACUUUUAAUGCAAACUACAUGAAAAACAGCAUAGAAAAAGGGUAGGUCUUUAGAGGUGCUGUGUCUCAAAUUAUUCUUUUAAAGGCAUCAAGAACUCUUUCCAGUCCUUCUGUGAAUAGUUUGGGGACACAUUCCCUAUAGCUUAUACAAGUCUGGGCAGCAAAAUAUACAGAAUUCUAUGCUUUUAUGUAGUCCUAUUUACAUAUUGGAAUAAAGCAUAAUUCACUUUAGGCUUUAUACAUAUAUUGAUACUUUAAAUCCGCAUUCAAAAGUAUGCAAAUAAUCAUCUUUUAAAUAUACAUCUUAAACCAUUAUAGUAUUGCAUAUUUAUACACUAUGAAUAUACAAAUGGGAAGUCAGGUUUGCAAUUAGUGGUCAAUUGAAAAUUAAUCAUGAACUCAAUUAAUGCUGGCAGGUUUUGAGUAUUUGUUGUAUUACAUAACUUCUGGAGUUAGGAAGAAACAACUGAAGCAUUGCCUAGAAAUAAAAUCUAUGAGACACUCCUGCACUAAUUGUUUUUUUAAACUUAAAACUAACAGUGCUCAAAGACAUAUGGUAUUAGUUGCAUCCUGUUCCAGACUCAAGGUGGUACUGAAAAGUGUUUGUAUGUGAAUGAGAAUGAACAGCCCAAACUUUUUAAUUCCUUGCUCACCGAGAGUCAGCAUUGUCAUGAGCAUACUGUCUAGAGAGUAUAUCUGAAAUAUAGACUUGGCCAGCUAAUGCCAUCCUCUUUGGAGCUUUGCAUCCUCACCCUUUUACAGAAUCCUGAAUUCCACUCUGCAGAACUGCUGCUCCAGGCUGAAGUGAUGAAUCUAGAUUAAACCUCACAUUCUGUAAGAAUUGGGAACAUAUGGUUCCCAGACUUCCUCAUCACACACCACAAUGUACUCACUUUCUCAUCAUCCUAAGCUUCGAAAGGCAUGGGCUAGAAGCGUCAAACCAAUACCUUACUGGUCCAAAUACCCUUCACAGGCUGUCUAAUGCCUAUCCCUAUUGUGCUUAUUUCCAAAUAUACAAGUAUUUUCUGGAGAUGAGCACAUUUUUAUAUAUUCCCCCUAACCAAUGACCCCAAAGCAGCAAAUCAGACACCUUUUGAUAUAGCAUGAAGAACCAAACAAAUUGCACAUAUGCUUAAAAUACUGGUGUUAAAGUGGAUGCUGCAUGGUUGAAAGGCUUUGGAUUGAAUUAUUAAACAUCUUGCAUUUUUUUUGUUUUACAUGUAGCCAGGAUUUUCCACUCGAAAGUAGAUUCAGCAAGCUAGUAAAAACAAGGAAUAAUUCUGUGGGAGCAACUAAAAAGCAAUGAAUAGGCAAGAAAAGGACUUAGGAAGUGGGGGUAAGGUGGGAGAGACAUUAACAUCUUAAGAGCAAUUGAAUAUGAACAACUUUUUACAAAAGGCCUCUUUGUGGUAUAUUAUACAAAUGCAGUGUUCUUGUUUUCCUUAAAGUGCUACUGUCAUCAUUAUUAUCAACGUCAAUAUGGAACUGUCUAUUGCUUGAGCAAGUCUUUCAGUAUUGUCCCAGCACUGGUAUCAGGGGCUACUGGUAAUGGGGUGAAAGUGGGCAAGGCAUCAGAAAUAGGCUUCAUAAGCAGAUGCCCAGAUCCGCCAGUUCCAAGAUUAGAUGGGGUGAUGAGGGGGACUGCUGCCGACCGGGGUGCGAGGAAGGGAUUCACAUCUGGUCUCCUACUGGUUCCUGGGCCUGAUGGAUCUGGCAGAAAAAAUCCAGAAAAUAUUGCUUAGUUAUUGAAGACCUCUUUCUCAGAAGGCUGCAUAGAAUUAGUUUCAAUCAUUUUGUCUAUAUUUUUAACAGUAUUUCAACUCUUCUUUAACUAACAGACCAAACCCAUUCUUCCCAAUGAUACAAUAAUGAUUGUAUGCACAAUAAUUUGUAAGAAUUAUUUUCAUUAUAGUAACAGUGAAAAGUAUAUUAUUUACUUAUCAACAAAUCACAGCAUAAUGCAAGUUUUCUACAAUUCUUCAUUGUUUCAGAAUUAUUAGAAACAUUCCCUUAUCACACAGAAAUAUUGCAAGAAAAGAAUUGAGAAUAUUGUCUUGUGAUAAAAAUUCACCAUAAACAAGAACAGUCAAAAUGAGAUGUAUAAUAGUCUCACAUCUGUUGACAGCUCGUCAUUUCAUUAUAGUCUAGUGUCAUAACCUCUUGAAUGUUUUAACGUUAUGACACUGAUUUAAAAAUUAAAUUGUAUUUCUUGAUAUAAAACUAAAUCUGGCUUUAUUCCGCCUCACACCUGCAUAUUCAAGUUCAUUCAAGUUUCUUGUUUCACAACAGCAAACUUGCCACAACAUGUUUCAAGGCUGUGAAGAGCACAAUAUACCACUAUGCACCAGAAUCUUUCCUGAACUUGGAAGCUAACCAGGGUCACCCUUGGUUAAUACUUGGAUGGGAGACUGCUGCUGAAUAAUAGGCCCUGGUUAUACUGUUAUUUCAGAGCAAGGAAUUAGCAAAAUCACAUUGAGUAUUCCUUGCCUAAUUCUAUGAAAUGCACAAGUCGACAGGUGUCUUGAAGGAACCACACAGACUAGUUAUAUCUGACAACUUCUUUCCCCUUUAUUUUAAGACAUGGAAAACAAUAUAUUCUUGUUUGUUUUUUUUAAAAAAACAAACCCAAAACAAACAAAACAGUGGAGCAGGUGCCUUGCAAAAGGAAAUUAUCUAAAUAAUUUUGCAUUGGAUUUGUGAGAAAUAAAUAUGGGAAAUAUUGUGUAUUAAUAUGUUGCCACAUGGAGGAAGUCUCCACAAAACUGCAAUUCACCACAAUUUUGAGCAAACCAUCCCUUUAAAAGUUUUUUUCUAUAUGAGAAUCAGAACAGAAACUUUUACAAAUUGAAUUGGGACACUCAGGAAUGUGUGUAUAAUAGUUAAAGAUAAAUCUUUCAUUCAAUGAGGCCAACCUUGCAACUAUGUAUUUAUGUCUGCUAAUCUGUUCUUAACAUUUUAAAAGAAAUCUGAAAUACCCAAACAAUUAAGGGAUACAGAUUGCAUGUCUGGUUUUAUAGGGCAACAAUCCAAUUCAGGAAUGGACAAAGUCCCUCUGAACUUUUUGUCCAGACAAGAAAUUUGGGUGCCUGCCAAAUAAAAUAGGGCACCUUCACUAUUAUACCAGAAGUGAUAAGAGAACAAAAGGUAUAUAAACCAUACAUUUACUGAAAAUAUAAACUUUCAAAGAUAAGCUUUCAGAGUGGAUAUUUCCCAGCUUUACUGUGAGAAUUUAAAGCUAAGCCUUCAGUGGGAAAACUUUCAAAACCUGGUAGCAAGGGACAUUCUCCACAAAGAGGCAAAGUUUUCAUAAACUUUUCAUAAAGAUUUUUAUAAAUACAGUAGAGUCUCACUUAUCCAAGCCUCUGGAUUAUCCAAGCCAUUUUUGUAGUCAAUGUUUUCAAUAUAUCGUGAUAUUUUGGUGCUAAAUUCAUAAAUACAGUAGUUACAACAUAAGAUUACUGCGUAUUGAACUACGUUUUCUGUCAAAUUUGUUGUAUAACAUGAUGUCUUGGUGCUUAAUUUGUAAAAUCAUAACCUAAUUUGAUGUUUAAUAGGCUUUUCCUUAAUCCCUCCUUAUUAUCCAAGAUAUUCGCUUAUCCAAGCUUCUGCCAGCCCGUUUAGUUUGGAUAAGUGAGACUCUACUGUAUAUCUAAAGAGGUGGUGUUUUAUGAAAAGCCAUCUUCUGAGCUCUACUAAACCAUUUGCAUUACACAAUACUCAUUUGCUUUUACAACAUGGGCCUGUUGAAAAUGUAGAUCGUCUAUAGGACUACAGUAAAAAUGAGAAAAGAAGUGUGAUUUUAAAACUAUAUUUACAACCACUGCUUCACUGUCACAAUGCUUUGGUAACAGGCUGAGAGCAUGCAAAAAUAUUCCCAUUUGUAAGUGAACCUAUCAUUUUGCUAAGUCAAAAAAAGACUUCUAAUAUUACCCAUCAUUGUCCUUGUGUAGUGCAACUAACUUUAAAAACCCUGAAAAUCUAUAUUCAACUGAUGCAACAUCAUCACUCAAGUUCAAUAUAAUGUUUCCUACCUUCUGAAAAUGAAAAGGCAUUACCUGUCACGUUGCUGGAAGGAUUAGUACCGGGUUUGCCUAUUCCUGUUGCUCCUAAAGGUUUCAUGUCAUGAACAGACAGUUUUGGUGGGGGAAGAACUGGACGGGAUUCUGUUUCAAGGAACUUCACAAACAAUUCUGAAAAAGACUGAGCAUUCAUACACUAAUUAUGUGACAUUUAUUUGGCUCAUCAGUUCAAGAUAUCUUGAAUCAAAUACUGUAGAACAAUGCUACAAGUAUGGCUUUUAUUUUAACAUGAUCACAUUAUUUAACAUAAAUCCUCAGGGCUGUCUGUCAGCAGUCAGAGAAUCAGUUUUUCACUGAUUUCAGGAUACAACCCAAAGGAAGGAAUUUGGAUGAUCAAGGUUGUUUUCUAAGGUCAACUAGGAAUGAAAUCAGAUUUUGCAUGUAUGGUGAGAUUAGUCAAGGACCUCCUCACUUAUUAAUGCUUACUAGAAUAUAGAAGAUUGAUGUUUUAACAAUUUGUUGUAGAACUUAAUUGAGUGUCCUAUAAUAUUAGCUGUGCCCAGUCACACGUUGCUGUGGCAAAGUGUGGUGGUAUGGGAAAUAAAGUAUUGAGGAAUUAGUGGUAGCUAGUAUAUGUUAUUUCCUAAAGGUUGUGAAUAUACAAUAUUUCUGGUUGUUCCUUUUUUUGUCUGUUGGAGGCAAGUAUGAAUCCUGCAAUUAGCCAGAAUGAUGAGCAUGUAAUGGCCUUUCAGCUUCAAAGCCUGGCUGCUUCCUCCCUGGGGGAAUCUUUUAUUGGGAGGUUUGAGCUGGCCCUGAAUGUUUCCUGUCUGGAAUUCCCGUUUUCAGAGUGUUGUUAUUUAUUUACUGUUCUGAUUUUAGAGUUUUUUUAAUACCUGGAGCCAGAUUGUGCUCAUUUUCAUGGAUCACAGCAACACAAUAAUAAUAAUACUAAUAAUAAUAAUAGAAAUAAUGACUCUGAUAAUACACACUACUUUUCUCCCUCCUCAGCUUCCUCCCUGGGGGAAUCCUUUGUUGGAAGGUGUUAGCUGGCCCUGAUUGUUUCCUGUCUGGAAUUCCCGUUUUCAGAGUUAUCAGCCUUGGCAUUCUGGGUUAUAUAGCUGUGUGGAAGGGGCCUUGAAUCUAAACUGCCAUAUAAUUCAGUUCAAAUCAGAUCAUCUGUAUUUUAUAGGCAGUGUGGAAGAGGCCUCAGUUCAAAUCAGAUCAUCUGUAUUUUAUAGGCAGUGUGGAAGAGGCCUAAGUGAACCCUCAGCCAUUGUGGCUGAGAGGGUUGCUAGGACACGAAGUGAGCAAGGCCUAAAGGGGGCGGGGCCUACCCUUCUGACUGGCAGCCAGGGUAGAACGGCUCUUCCUUGUCCUCUGUAAUUUGGACUUUAUUUUUUCUAGGUUUUUUUAUUGAAUGACAUAGAUUGGAUGACUAUGUCUUUUGUGGCCAAAUUUGGUGUGAUUUGGUUCAGUGGUUUUGUUUACGCCAUGGGGAAAACACACAUUACAUCUAUAUAUAGAUAGAUUUUGAAGAUCCAUGACUUCAUUGAUAUAGGCACUCCUCUACCAAUAUGGACUGCAAUUAUUUUAUGCUUCCAUUGUGUUUAUAGCUGCUGAAGCUUAUUGAUCACCUGGGACCAGCCUUCCUGUCAUCAGUUUCUCCUUAUCUAAGGCAGUAAGUUAGUUUGUCAUCAUUCAGGAAAAAUCAGCCAUGGAUUUACCACACAAAAGCAGUUAGGUAUUUUAAAUUUUUGUGUUUGUUUUAGCAGGAUUAUAUGUUUUUGUUUGAUGAUGUUAUUUUUGUUGAAUGGACCCCUAUUGGCAAUAGAAUGUUCUGCUUAUGUUGGAAACUGCCCUGAGUCCUCUGGGGGAGAUAGGGCGGUAUAUAAAUAAAGUUUUUAUUUUGUAUUAUAUUAAGUAAAAUACUUACACUGUUGAAAACUGAUUGAUGGCUUGGCCUCAGAGGUGUGUUGGGGACACUCUUUGAUCCAGCACCUCCUCCAAACCAUCCAGUCACCCAUCGAGUAACACCUGCUUGAUCUUCAGAUAAUAACUAGAAAGUAGUUUAAACCAGAAAGGGGUAUUAGAAUCUGCUACUACCUCAUACAUCAACAAGAAUAAAUCCAACAAGCCAUUCAAAAGCAAAUGAUAAAGCAGUUUCUAGCAAUGGAGUUUUGACUGUUUUUU